UUUCCGUAGGUGAACCUGCGGAAGGAUCAUUAUUGUAUAACCGAGGUGCGAGGGCUGUCGCUGACCCGAAAGGUCGUGCACGCCCGAGUGCCCUCACACACAUCCAUCUCACCCCUAUGUGCACCACCGCGUGGGUCCCCCUUUGGCUUGUUCGGAGGGGGGCUUACGUUUUCACACAAACUUUGUAUGUAGUGUAGAAUGUAUUUUUUGUUUUUGCGAUCACGCAAUCAAUACGACUUUCAACAACGGAUCUCUUGGCUCUC
rnacentral:misc_RNA from 1 species